UGAGGAAUAUUGGUCAAUGGGCGAGAGCCUGAACCAGCCAAGUCGCGUGCAGGAAGACAGUCCUAAGGAUUGUAAACUUCUUUUAUACUGGAAUAACGGGCGAUACGAGUAUUGCAUUGAAUGUACCGUAAGAAUAAGCAUCGGCUAACUCCGUGCCAGCAGCCGCGGUAAUACGGAGGAUGCGAGCGUUAUCCGGCUUUAUUGGGUUUAAAGGGUGCGUAGGUUGUUCGGUAAGUCAGCGGUGAAACCUGAGCGCUCAACGUUCAGCCUGCCGUUGAAACUGCCGGGCUUGGGUUCAGUGGCAGCAGGCGGAAUUCGUGGUGUAGCGGUGAAAUGCAUAGAUAUCACGAGGAACUCCGAUUGCGAAGGCAGCUUGCCAUACUGCGACUGACACUGAAGCACGAAGGCGUGGGUAUCAAACAGG
rnacentral:rRNA from 1 species